AUUGAACGCUGGCGGCAGGCCUAACACAUGCAAGUCGAGCGGAGCGGCGGACGGGUGAGUAAUGCCUAGGAAUCUGCCUGGCAGUGGGGGAUGAAGUCCUGCAACGGGCGCUAAUAACGCAUACUUUCAGUUGAGUCUAGGUCGGAUUAGCUAGUUGGUGGGGUAAAGGCCUACCAAGGCGACGAUCCGUACCUGGUCUGUGAGGAGGAUCAGUCACACGGGAACUGAGACACGGUCCAGACUCCUACGGGAGGCAGCAGUGGGGAAUAGUGGACAAUGGGCGAAAGCCUGAUCCAGCCAUGCCGCGUGUGUGAAGAAGGUCUUCGGAUUGUAAAGCACUUUAAGUUGGGAGGCGUUACCAACAGAAUAAGCACCGGCUAACUCCGUGCCAGCAGCCGCGGUAAUUC
rnacentral:rRNA from 1 species